CCUACGGGCGGCAGCAGUGGGGAAUAUUGCACAAUGGGGGCAACCCUGAUGCAGCGACGCCGCGUGAGUGAAGAAGUAUUUCGGUAUGUAAAGCUCUAUCAGCAGGGAAGAAAAUGACGGUACCUGACUAAGAAGCCCCGGCUAACUCCGUGCCAGCAGCCGCGGUAAUACGUAGGGGGGAAGCGUUAUCCGGAUUUACUGGGUUGAAAGGGAGCGUAGACGGCCAGAGAAGUCAGAAGUGAAAACCCGGGGCUCAACUGCGGGAGUGCUUUUGAAACUGUUUGGCUGGAGUGCAGGAGAGGUAAGUGGAAUUCCUAGUGUAGCGGUGAAAUGCGUAGAUAUUAGGAGGAACACCAGUGGCGAAGGCGGCUUACUGGACUGUAACUGACGUUGAGGCUCGAAAGCGUGGGGAGCAAACAGGAUUAGAUACCCUUGUAGUC
rnacentral:rRNA from 1 species